rnacentral:lncRNA from 1 species
GAGGGCAAGUGUUUCAAAGCAUGUACACAUAUACAUCUCCUGAGAUGAUUUUCCUUUUCCUUCCAGAGCAAGCAUAAGCCUAUCUUAAUCUACAUGGCCACUUCCUACAGGACUCCAGUAACACAUAAUCCUCACCAUAAGGCAUUCUCCAAAGCUACAGUGAUUUCCCAUCGGAAUUCUCAUUGUACCCUGAAUUCAUCUUCACAAUUACCCCAACCGCAUUGUUUUCAUUAUAUUACUUGACAUGGGAUGAAGAGAUGUGUGACAAGUGACUGAGUCAGCCUUAUCCAACACACUUUGAAGAGGCCAAGCAAACAGGGUGGAAGACCUACCCCAGACUUGGGUACCACUGACCAACAGGCACGUAGUCUAUGUGGAAUGAAAAAGGCAAAGAAGUAAAAGAAAAAGAAAUGGCUCCAUUUGCAGAGUGGGGGCUCCUUCCUCACCGUUACCUUUGGAUGUUGGUCUCCAGUUUCUUCAUCCUGCUAAUGUCUUCCAGCAUGGACUGGCACUGCUGACUCCAGAGUGAGCUUUCAGGCUUUCAAUUUUCUACUGCCACCGUGUCUUCCAGCCCUCCAACACACAAAAGGGCUGUUUCAGGAACCCGGGAAAAAUGGAGCCUUUGGAGGAUGAGAAGAUGUGAAAAGACAUCUUGCUCAGAGCCUUUGUUGUUACCUUGGGUACUCAGACACACACGGGAUUCACCUUCUCCACCCACAGAAGACAUCUUUUCCUCUUCUGCACGGUACAUAGAACAACAGGAAUGGAUGCCACGAAGCCAAUGCCCAAUGAUUCUCCUCAGGAAAUGAGUGUGAGAAGGUGUAAAUAUGAAAAGAGGGAAAAAACAAACAGAUACACCUGUGGAAGACCGGUCCAAAUAACCUGAACUGCUGAAACAUUGAGGUAAGUUUUAAAACUUAGACAAGGG